AGGACGAACGCUUGCGGCGUGCCUAAGAAAUGCAAGUCGAGCGGGGAGCAAUCCCAGCGGCGAACGGUCGCGUAACACGUAAGCAACCUGCCCGAAAGACCGGGAUAACGUUUCGAAAGAGGCGCUAAUACCGGAUGUGGCCACCGAGAGAUAUCUUUUGGUGAUUAAAUCAUUUAUGGCUUUCGGAGGGGCUUGCGGCCUAUCAGCUAGAUGGCGAGGUAACGGCUCACCAUGGCGUCGACGGGUAGC
rnacentral:rRNA from 1 species